rnacentral:rRNA from 1 species
UGCCAGCCGCCGCGGUAAGACGGAGGGUCCUAGCGUUGUUCGGAAUGACUGGGCGUAAAGGGUACGUAGGCGGUUUGGUCAGUUAGAUGUGAAAGCCCAGGGCUCAACCUUGGAACUGCAUUUAAUACUGCCAGACUUGAGAUCGGACGAGGAAAGCGGAAUUUCUAGUGUAGAGGUGAAAUUCGUAGAUAUUCGGAGGAACACCAGUGGCGAAGGCGGCUCACUGGCUCGAUACUGACGCUGAGGUACGAAAGUGUGGGGAGCAAACAGGAUUAGAUA